rnacentral:tRNA from 1 species
GGCCCUGUAGCUCAGCGGUCAGAGCACCCGGCUCAUAACCGGCGAGACGCAAGUUCGAAUCUUGCCAGGGCCA